GACGAACGCUGGCGGCGUGCCUAAUACAUGCAAGUAGAACGCUGAAGAGAGGAGCUUACUCUUCUUGGAUGAGUUGCGAACGGGUGAGUAACGCGUAGGUAACCUGCCUUGUAGCGGGGGAUAACUAUUGGAAACGAUAGCUAAUACCGCAUAACAAUGGAUGACACAUGUCAUUUAUUUGAAAGGGGCAAUUGCUCCACUACAAGAUGGACCUGCGUUGUAUUAGCUAGUAGGUGAGGUAAUGGCUCACCUAGGCGACGAUACAUAGCCGACCUGAGAGGGUGAUCGGCCACACUGGGACUGAGACACGGCCCAGACUCCCACGGGAGGCAGCAGUAGGGAAUCUUCGGCAAUGGGGGCAACCCUGACCGAGCAACGCCGCGUGAGUGAAGAAGGUUUUCGGAUCGUAAAGCUCUGUUGUAAGUCAAGAACGGGUGUGAGAGUGGAAAGUUCACACUGUGACGGUAGCUUACCAGAAAGGGACGGCUAACUACGUG
rnacentral:rRNA from 1 species